AUUGCUUCUCAGCCUUUUGGCUAAGAUCAAGUGUACUAUCUAUUCUUGUCAGUCCGACAUCUGAUAUGCACUUGAUCAGAGGAUAAUGUACUAAAUGGAUUUUUGGAGGAGGCAGGUAGACUUGCAGCUUGCCUCAACCACUGCAGUCAUCCAUGUGGUAUUACAGGACCUCCAGGAAAGGUAAACCUUUC
rnacentral:snRNA from 1 species